ACAAGCGGUGGAGCAUGUGGUUAAUUCGAAGCAACGCGAAGAACCUUACCAGGCCUUGACAUGCAGAGAACUUUCCAGAGAUGGAUUGGUGCCUUCGGGAACUCUGACACAGGUGCUGCAUGGCUGUCGUCAGCUCGUGUCGUGAGAUGUUGGGUUAAGUCCGUAACGAGCGCAACCCUUGUCCUUAGUUACCAGCACGUUAUGGUGGGCACUCUAAGGAGACUGCCGGUGACAAACCGGAGGAAGGUGGGGAGUGACGUCAAGUCAUCAUGGCCCUUACGGCCUGGGCUACACACGUGCUACAAUGGUCGGUACAAAGGGUUGCCAAGCCGCGAGGUGGAGCUAAUCCCAUAAAACCGAUCGUAGUCCGGAUCGCAGUCUGCAACUCGACUGCGUGAAGUCGGAAUCGCUAGUAAUCGUGAAUCAGAAUGUCACGGUGAAUACGUUCCCGGGCCUU
rnacentral:rRNA from 1 species